GAGUUUGAUCCUGGCUCAGAUUGAACGCURGCGGGAUGCCUUACACAUGCAAGUCGAACGGCAGCACGGACUUCGGUCUGGUGGCGAGUGGCGAACGGGUGAGUAAUGUAUCGGAACGUGCCCAGUAGCGGGGGAUAACUACGCGAAAGCGUAGCUAAUACCGCAUACGCUCUACGGGGGAAAGCAGGGGAUCGUAAGACCUUGCACUAUUGGAGCGGCCGAUAUCGGAUUAGCUAGUUGGUGGGGUAACGGCUCACCAAGGCGACGAUCCGUAGCUGGUUUGAGAGGACGACCAGCCACACUGGGACUGAGACACGGCCCAGACUCCUACGGGAGGCAGCAGUGGGGAAUUUUGGACAAUGGGGGAAACCCUGAUCCAGCCAUCCCGCGUGUGCGAUGAAGGCCUUCGGGUUGUAAAGCACUUUUGGCAGGAAAGAAACGUCAUGGGUUAAUACCCCGUGAAACUGACGGUACCUGCAGAAUAAGCACCGGCUAACUACGUGCCAGCAGCCGCGGUAAUACGUAGGGUGCAAGCGUUAAUCGGAAUUACUGGGCGUAAAGCGUGCGCAGGCGGUUCGGAAAGAAAGAUGUGAAAUCCCAGAGCUUAACUUUGGAACUGCAUUUUUAACUACCGGGCUAGAGUGUGUCAGAGGGAGGUGGAAUUCCGCGUGUAGCAGUGAAAUGCGUAGAUAUGCGGAGGAACACCGAUGGCGAAGGCAGCCUCCUGGGAUAACACUGACGCUCAUGCACGAAA
rnacentral:rRNA from 1 species